GUGAACAUACCUUCUGUUGCCUCGGCAGGUCGCGCCGGCGCCUAACCGCGUAGCACCCUACCCCGUAGGGCCUACCCGGGACGCGCCGGCGGUCCCUGCCGGCGGCCCACGAAACUCUGUUUAGCAUAUUGAAUUCUGAACGUAUAACUAAAUCAGUUAAAACUUUCAACAACGGAUCUCUUGGUUCUGGCAUCGAUGAAGAACGCAGCGAAAUGCGAUAAGUAAUGUGAAUUGCAGAAUUCAGUGAAUCAUCGAAUCUUUGAACGCACAUUGCGCCCAUUAGUAUUCUAGUGGGCAUGCCUGUUCGAGCGUCAUUUCAACCCUGCAAGCCCCCGUUGCUUGGUGUUGGGAGCCUACGGGGUCACCCGUAGCUCCUCAAAGUUAGUGGCGGAGUCGGUUCACACUCUAGACGUAGUAGAUUUUCACCUCGCCUGUAGUGCCGGACCGGUCCCCUGCCGUAAAACA
rnacentral:rRNA from 1 species